CACGCUGGUGCUGACGGAGUCACACCUGAAGCGCAGGAUUUUAGCUGCUGGUGGUUCAGUGGUUGAAUGCCCCCCAGAAAAGGAGCAACUGAUUACUUCCACAGGCUUGCACCAGUUGCACAUUCUGAUCUUCUUUUUGGCUGUGUUUCAUGUGGUAAAUAGUGCUCUUAUAAUGGUCCUUGGAAGAGCAAAGAUACACAGAUGGAAGGACUGGGAAAAGGAUACGACAUCGGCUGAGUAUGCCUUCACGACUGGUAUAUAUAUGUUCACUAUUCUUUGUUUUUUUGUCCCAGAUUUGCAUCCUUGGAUCCUAGUUUGAGUGGUAAAAGUGCAGAACCAAUAUAUCGUGAUGCAAAAGGGAAAGCUAUUUCAAAGGAAGAGCUACUGAAACCAAAGGAGGAAGAGAAACCAAAGUUUACAAAUCUCAAGUACUCCAGAGUUGAAAUUGAUGA